GACGAACGCUGGCGGCGUGCUUAACACAUGCAAGUCGAACGGAAAGGCCCUGCUUUUGUGGGGUGCUCGAGUGGCGAACGGGUGAGUAACACGUGAGUAACCUGCCCUUGACUUUGGGAUAACUUCAGGAAACUGGGGCUAAUACCGGAUAGGAGCUCCUGCUGCAUGGUGGGGGUUGGAAAGUUUCGGCGGUUGGGGAUGGACUCGCGGCUUAUCAGCUUGUUGGUGGGGUAGUGGCUUACCAAGGCUUUGACGGGUAGCCGGCCUGAGAGGGUGACCGGCCCAUUUGGGACCGAGGAACGGCCCAGACUCCUACGGGAGGCAGCAGUGGGGAAUAUUGCACAAUGGGCGGAAGCCUGAUGCAGCAACGCCGCGUGCGGGAUGACGGCCUUCGGGUUGUAAACCGCUUUCGCCUGUGACGAAGCGUGAGUGACGGUAAUGGGUAAAGAAGCACCGGCUAACUACGUG
rnacentral:rRNA from 1 species